rnacentral:misc_RNA from 1 species
AGAAAAGUGAUAUGCUACAAGACUAGUUAGAGAUUUACUAAUAUGUUACAAAGUUUUGGUAUGUUCAAAUUAUCGUUCUCCUGAAAUAGAUGAUGUUGUAAAUUGGAUAUUAAGGUGUUGAGCGAAAAAUAAUUUCAGUUCUUUCACCUCAUUUUCUAGGGCACGCAAGCGAUCCAUCAUAGAUCGGUUGUCGUCUUUAGUUGAAUGUAACUGGGGAAGUAAUUCAACCUUUG